UCGGCUCCGGUUUUUUGUUUUUCGACAGGCGGUGGGCCGCCUCCGGGCUCCAAAAACUGGGACUCGCACCGGCCCCAACUCGUUGCUGGGCCAGAGGUGGCCCGAGGUGAGAGCCCAGUACGUCAGGGGCUGGGGUUACAGUCCGACCGUCAACAGCGGAAACACAGAAGCGCCGUUUUUAAACAGCCGAGCGAGCAGCAGUAAUGUUCAAUGUUUGUGUUUUAAAAACCGGUAAAUAUAGAAGCAAAAUCCAAGCAGCAACGGUCUGAGGAGGAGACCCAAAGCUUCCUGGAACUGUGGUCUUCAUAUGAAAUUCAGUGGAAGUUAGAGGGAGCCUCUUGGACCACACCAGUGUUCGAAACAAUCCAGUGGGAGACGGCUACAGCUGUACGAACGGAGCCUGACUAACUCCUCAACAACUAAAAAGUUCAGAAAUGACGACAAGAACCAGAAAAGGCAGCCGGGAUGCAGCAGUUUUUGGCCAAAAAGAGCCCCAGUUUUUUCCGGCUGCAUUCCGUGAUUCCAACCGGGUCCCUGAACGCAACAGCUGAGCAUUCCAUGAUUCCAACCGGGUCCCUGAACGCAACAGCUGAGCAUUCCAUGAUUCCAACCGGGUCUCUGAACGCAACAGCUGAGCAUUCCAUGAUUCCAACCGGGUCCCUGAAUGCAACAGCUGAGCAUUCCGUGAUUCCAACCGGGUCCCUGAACGCAACAGCUGAGCAUUCCAUGAUUCCAACCGGGUCCCUGAACGCAACAGCUGAGCAGGAGUUGAUGCAGGCCGCAGUACCGAUCCUGAUAGUUGUCGGCCUAGGAUGAUGAGGUCCAGUUAUCAGGAUCACUACUCUGCAGCUUACUGGUUCCGUCCUGCAGCUCCUUCAUGCUGUCCUCCUCGCUACAGACCAAAUCAAGAUAAAGGAACCAGGAUGCUACUGUGGAUCUGCUGCAGUAUCUGGAGACGUCAGAGGAACGGUUCUUGGAACAGAUCUGAAGACACUGAGACCUGACCACUGCCCUGCUCCAGAACAUCCAGAGGACGGAUGAAAAUUCAAACCCCUUGGCUGGACUGAUGGGACGCAUGGUGUCGGUGCUGGAGCGACUGUCACAGAAAUAAACUGCAUUGUCCACUAUUCCUACCUUUUUUAGAAAAAGUAAUCAUAUUUUUUAUAAAUUCUUUUCCUCCUUAGCUAUUUAAGUACACUGGUAUUUUACUCUUGCACUUUGGGUGAAUACAAAUAUAUUUGUGAUGAAAGAUG